GACUCCAAGCCUGGUGAGAAAUCGAGAGGGCUCGGGAGAAAGGGAUCACGUUGGAGGGAGCACACAUUGGGACGGUGGGAGCACACAUUGGGAGGGUGGGAACACAAGGACAACGUAGCUCCCACUGAAACCCACCUGCUGCCCCUACAGCCUCCUAGGGCUCUUUGCCCUCAUCCUCUCUGGCAAAUGCAGCUACAGCCCGGAGCCCGACCAGCGGAGGACGCUGCCCCCAGGCUGGGUGUCCCUGGGCCGUGCGGACCCUGAGGAAGAGCUGAGUCUCACCUUUGCCCUGAGACAGCAGAAUGUGGAAAGACUCUCGGAGCUGGUGCAGGCUGUGUCGGAUCCCAGCUCUCCUCAAUACGGAAAAUACCUGACCCUAGAGAAUGUGGCUGAUCUGGUGAGGCCAUCCCCACUGACCCUCCGCACGGUGCAAAAAUGGCUCUUGGCAGCCGGAGCCCGGAAGUGCCAUUCUGUGAUCACACAGGACUUUCUGACUUGCUGGCUGAGCAUCCGACAAGCAGAGCUGCUGCUCCCUGGGGCUGAGUUUCAUCACUAUGUGGGAGGACCUACGG
rnacentral:sRNA from 1 species